AAUAACAUAAUAAAAUGGACCAAGUGAAAUUGGAGUGCAUCCAUAUGUAUCAUUGCAACAUACCUUCAACUGCUGCAUACUGCUUACAUGAGUUUUGAAUACCUGCAGCAUGAACCUUGCUAAUAGUAGUAUUUUCCUCCAUUACAUUGUCUUAAUUCGAAAUUGAAACCAUUUAGAUCUUAAUGCCCAUAUGGUCGGGAAUUACUGGAGGCUCGUGAAUGGUGCUUGAAGUACAAAAGAACUGGGAAAGAUGCAGAACUUACUCAGAAGGAAGCACUAAUUCUUUUGCUGCCACUGAUUAGAUCUUUAAGUAUCAGGUACUGCAUCUAAAAUUUGUAGUUCCCUUUUAACCCUUGUUAUGAUUGAAUUUUCCCACUUGUCCACUUGUGCAUUUGGUGGCGAAGAUGAUUUGUAUCAACCUAUUGGAAUGACGGAGGCAUCGCUUAGAAAGGUGACGUUAUACAUUGAAUAUCUUUUGUUACCUUAGUCCCACAUUACCCAGAGUAGUUUGGAAUUCGGGGACUAGUGUUAAUUGUAACCAGAAGCAGAUCGAACAUACCCCAAAAAUCUCCUUGAUCGAAAGAUUCUAGCCACCCAACUUGGGAUUUUCUCCAUUGAAUGGGGACCAUUGUUUUGUUUUCCACAGGUAAUUGACAACCAAGUAGAAGUCUGUCGUGAGUUCCUCUGAGGAACCUGUCAUCGAACUGGUUGCCGUUUCUAUCACCCAUUGGCUACAACUAGUACCGCAAUGUCCAGUGGACUCAAAUGUCUGCCAUUGUGCUAACCAUGGAUGAAGCGUUCCAGUUAUAAUGCAAGCUCAAAAAGCAUCUCUGCUUGAUAUGCAAUGCAAAGACAAGUUCCUCUUUGAGUGUCAUUGCUAGUCAUGGUGCAACUACAAAGUACAUAACCCCAGAAAUGGUGGGACCUUGUGUUUUCUCUAGGAGUGGAGCACAUCAUGGAGCAUUUUUUAUUUAUUUUUAAUGUAUUCGGGCAAUUGUAAACUUAUUGUUGUAAAUAUAUAUAAUUUUAUUAUAAAGUUGUACCAUAUUUGUUCAAUAUUAAUUUUUAAUUGUAUAUAAUAAUCUUUGAUUUUUAAAUAUGAAAACAAAUGUACAGCUUUUA